UUGCUUUGGCAGCACACGUACUAAAAUUGGAACGAUACAGAGGUUACCAUGGCCCCUGUGCAAGGAUAUGUAAAUUUGUGAAGUGAUCCAUAAUAAAAAAGUUAGCAUGGCCCCUGUGCAAGGAUGAUAUGUAAAUUUGUGAAGUGAUCCAUAAUAAA
rnacentral:snRNA from 1 species